rnacentral:lncRNA from 1 species
GAGCGGAGAGCGACGCGGUUGUUGUAGUUGCCGCUGCGGCCGCCGCGGAAUAAUAAGCCGGGUACAGUGGCUGGGGUCAGGGUCGUGUCUAGGGGACGGUCGGAGGGCGAGUAUUGAGGAACGGGGUCCUCUAAGAAGGCCGGACCGGAGGGCAGGGAUCUGCGCGGGGCCCGGCUGGGCCUCGGGGGGCGGUGGGCAGGGCCUUCGCCUGGGUCUGGGCGUGUGAGCCACACUGGCUCUCAUGAGCAGUGUAGUGCAGUUUUUUUCAUUUAAAAAGAUACAUCUCUGCUUUCUGGAUUGAUUUUUCUUUGAAGAUGAAUGUGAGAAAUAGAACUUAAAGGUCUAUUCUGAGUGUGCUUUAUAAAUGAUUUUAUCAUCAGUGAUGGGUGUUAGAAAAAUCUAGGUAAUUAUGCCUGGAGUUCUGACGUUUCAUUGGCAAACUUUAGAGGAAGUCUUGAACUUCUGGUUGUCAGCUUUUUU